rnacentral:tRNA from 1 species
GGGCUGGUAGCUCAGUUGGUUAGAGCGCACGCUUGAUAAGCGUGAGGUCGGAGGUUCGAGCCCUCCUCGGCCCA